rnacentral:sRNA from 1 species
GCCGGGGAUGGUGGCGCAUGCUUGUAAUCCCAGCAGCUUGGGAGGCUGAGGCAGGAGGACCAUGAGUUGAAACCAGCCUCAGCAACUUAGUGAGGCCCUAAGUAAUUCUACGAGACCCUGUCUCUA